ACAGUUAUCACACCAUUAUUGUGCAAAAAAUAAGGGUGGUUUAACGCGGCACUCUGCCAGCCACUUUUGGCUUCCAUAGACAUCAACAAGCCUAUGCCUCCAACACUACCAGAGGUUGACGCUAGCUCCACGGAAUGUGCUGGCAGCUGCUGGCAGCGCGCCCAUGAAACACAGCCAGGGGUUUCCUCUGUAAAGUCAUUAUUGUCUAGGUACAUGAGCCUUUAGCAAUUGUUAACAGCUAUAAAAAUUGGAAUUAGAAAUGUUCAGGUAUUAUCAGCAUCAGCUAAACAGGGAAGAGAAUUCGGCUACAGCCCAUCUUGCAACGCCUCAAUGAAAUUUAACGAGAAACUUAAAUUGAGGGAGCAGCUACAUAACUGAGAUCCCGAAAGAAGAUAACAGCUUGUUUUCUUCACCGCCACCAGUCUACCUGCUCUCUGCACACUCGGCAGAGCGCGGCAGGGCACCCCACGGAGCUGCACUAGUCACAUCCGGGCCCCACGCCGGUCGACGGCCGAUGCGCCGCUGGGAGGCCUGCGGCGCGGACGACGGAUGCGGCAGUUGGUCAAGACACGGCAGCCUACUCGAGGUGCUUCUCGCCUGGAGGACGCAGGCGAAUCGCGUUAUCCGAGCUGUGCCUCGUCAUGGUGCGAUGAGCCUUAAUAGACUAAUGCAUAUUCUUCCUUUGGCUGUAAUUCAUUUGCUGCUGCCCGCUGGGCUAAGGAGUAACUCUGGGCGCCUACUUUGGGCAGACGCUCGUCCAGUGCCGCUCUUCGUUUGCCGCA